GAUGAACGCUGGCGGCGUGCUUAACACAUGCAAGUCGAACGAUGAAGCCCAGCUUGCUGGGUGGCUUAGUGGCGAACGGGUGAGUCACACGUGAGUAACCUGCCCUUAACUCUGGGAUAAGCCUGGAUAACUGGGUCUAAUACCGGAUAGGAGCGUCCACCGCAUGGUGUGUGUUGGAAAGAUUUAUCGGUUUUGGUUGGACUCGCGGCCUAUCAGAUUGUUGGUGAGGUAAGGGCUCACCAAGGCGACGACGGGUAGCCGGCCUGGGCGGGGGACCGGCCAAACUACGAUGGAGACGAGACACAGCCUCGUACCCGAGGCAGCAGUGGAGAAUAGUACACAAUAGGCGCAACGCUGGUGUAGCGAAGCCGCGUGAGGGAAGACGGCAAUCGGGUUGGAAUCCACAGUCAGUAGGGAAGAAGCGAAAGUGACGGUACCUGCAGAAGAAGCACCGGCUAACUACGUG
rnacentral:rRNA from 1 species